CCAAUGCAACUCCUUGCAUUGCCGGUCCUAAGCCCGGGUAAAGGAGGAGGGAGAAGGGCUUUAGAAUGAAUCGUCAACUAUGGAGGAGAUCUUGAAAAUGCAGUGGAUGUUGCAUGUGGGAGGGUUGGAGCUGCAUAUUUCAGAUUCAAGCAUCUGGAUGAUGGAAUAUACGAAGCUGUUGAAAUUUCAGGGUGAAGUCGAGCACAUUUCUCUAAUGAAGCCAAA